AAAAUAUUCUCAAAUAAAUUAUCAAAUGCUCAAUUAUUGUUACAUGUUAUAUCCCCUAACAUCCACUAUCAAUAGCAAGAACUUGUAUUUAAAAAUAUUGGCUCCUUGUGUGAAGGCGAAGAGACGAUCACCUUUAACCAAGGACUAAUGAGCCGUCAGCUGGAAGGUGUUGAAAACAAAUCUUUAGAUAAAUCGGAAAUGCUGGCACAAAGCUCACUGCUAAGAGAAUAUGACAUUUCAAUCAAAAACAUAGAGCGGUCGGUAGAGUCUCAUGACGGGAGAAUCGAAAGACAGUGCACUCGAUGAGGUUGCAAGCCUUCUCUCUAUACAAUCGCUUGAGGUGAAGCAAAGGCUAACAAACCCCAAAUGCGUGCAUGCAAUGACCACAUAUGUUCACAAGCUAAAAGAAGCCUCCGAUGAUGUUGAAAAUACCAUUAAAAUAUUUUCACUGAUUGUUUACUAGAAACAUUGAACUGGGAUGGAUUCCACAUAAGAUUGUGCAAACGCUUUUAGUUCGGGAAGGCACCGUUUUUCAACAACAGGAAUGGGAACUUUAAUUUGAAAGAAAUAUUCGGAAAGCAAUAAAGAGCAGCCAGCAUAGGAUGAAGCAAAAAAGAUACUGUAACGAAAAUGACACCAGAACAAACUAGAAUUGACAAUCGGAAUCCAUAACUUGCCAGAUGUAUCUAGACAUCGAUAUUCGUAAUUGCCAGAAUGUUCGAGUGACGAUAACUUGCUAGCAAUCGACUAUAUAAGGUCUGCCGGACUGGCAGCAAUACACAGUUCUGAUAAGAGAGUUGUCAGUGAGGACAAUUCAAAGGAGAGAGUUGUCGAACAAAGUGUAAACAAGUUAUAAAUUAGAGUUGUAAAGUAGAGUAUUGAGUACUAAAGUGUUAAGUUAUAAGGAAUUAGAAAUAAAGUUUAGUGUAUAGCUAUUAAAGUGCGACUUUUAUUUGACAAUCCAGUGAUCGAACUCAGGGUAGAGUUUCAGCGUUAACGACAGAUUUUAGAAAUCCGCUACAAUACAUUAGGCGAGUUUUA